GACGAACGCUGGCGGCGUGCUUAACACAUGCAAGUCGAACGGAAAGGCCCUGCUUUUGUGGGGUGCUCGAGUGGCGAACGGGUGAGUAACACGCGAGUAACCUGCCCUUGACUUUGGGAUAACUUCAGGAAACUGGGGCUAAUACCGGAUAGGAGCUCCUGCUGCAUGGUGGGGGUUGGAAAGUUUCGGUGGUUGGGGAUGGACUCGCGGCUUACCAGCUUGUUGGUGGGGUAGUGGCUUACCAAGGCUUUGACGGGUAGCCGGCCUGAGAGGGUGACCGGCCACAUUGGGACUGAGGGACGGCCCAGGCUCCUACGGGAGGCAGCAGUGGGAAAUAUUGCACAAGGGGCGGAGGCCUGAUGCAGCAACGCCGCGUGCGGGAUGACGGCCUUCGGGUUGUAAACCGCUUGCGCCUGUGACGAAGCGUGAGUGACGGUAAUGGGUAAAGAAGCACCGGCUAACUACGUG
rnacentral:rRNA from 1 species